GACAGAGGGUGCAAACGUUGUUCGGAAUUACUGGGCGUAAAGCGCGUGUAGGCGGCCAACUAAGUCGGGCGUGAAAUCCCACGGCUCAACCGUGGAAGUGCACUCGAAACUGGAUGGCUAGAGUCCUGGAGAGGAAGGUGGAAUGCUUGGUGUAGAGGUGAAAUUCGUAGAUAUCAAGCGGAACACCGGUGGCGAAGGCGGCCUUCUGGACAGUGACUGGA
rnacentral:rRNA from 1 species